UACAGAGGGUGCAAGCGUUAAUCGGAAUUACUGGGCGUAAAGCGUGCGUAGACGGUUAUGUAAGUCAGAUGUGAAAGCCCCGGGCUCAACCUGGGAAUUGCAUUUGAGACUGCAUAGCUAGGGUGCGGAAGAGGGAAGCGGAAUUUCCGGUGUAGCGGUGAAAUGCGUAGAUAUCGGAAGGAACACCAGUGGCGAAAGCGGCUUCCUGGUCAAGAACCGACGUUCAGGCACGAAAGCGUGGGGAGCAAACAGG
rnacentral:rRNA from 1 species